rnacentral:rRNA from 1 species
CGACCCCAGGUCAGACGGGACUACCCGCUGAGUUUAAGCAUAUCAAUAAGCGGUGGAGAAGAAACUUACAAGGAUUCCCUUAGUAACGGCGAGCGAACCGGGAAUAGCCCAACUUGAGAAUCGGGCGGCCACCCCGUUCGA